rnacentral:rRNA from 1 species
GACGAACGCUGGCGGCGUGCCUAAUACAUGCAAGUCGAGCAAAUGGAAGGGAACUUGCUCCCUGAAGUUAGCGGCGGACGGGUGAGUAACACGUGGGCAACCUGCCUGUAAGACUGGGAUAACUUCGGGAAACCGGAGCUAAUACCGGAUACGUUCUUUCCUCGCAUGAGGAAAGAUGGAAAGAUGGUUUCGGCUAUCACUUACAGAUGGGCCCGCGGCGCAUUAGCUAGUUGGUGGGGUAACGGCCCACCAAGGCGACGAUGCGUAGCCGACCUGAGAGGGUGAUCGGCCACACUGGGACUGAGACACGGCCCAGACUCCUACGGGAGGCAGCAGUAGGGAAUCUUCCGCAAUGGACGAAAGUCUGACGGAGCAACGCCGCGUGAGCGAAGAAGGCCUUCGGGUCGUAAAGCUCUGUUGUCAGGGAAGAACAAGUGCCAGAGUAACUGCUGGCACCUUGACGGUACCUGACCAGAAAGCCACGGCUAACUACGUGCCAGCAGCCGCCGUAA